rnacentral:rRNA from 1 species
AGGUCCAGCCUGCCCAGUGACUUUGUUCAACGGCCGCGGUAUCCUAACCGUGCGAAGGUAGCGUAAUCACUUGUUCUUUAAAUGAGGACUAGUAUGAAUGGCCCCACGAGGGCUGCACUGUCUCCUUUUUCUAAUCAAUGAAACUAAUCUCCCCGUGAAGAAGCGGGAAUUAUCCUAUAAGACGAGAAGACCCUAUGGAGCUUUAAACAACUGAAACAUUUGCUUUUCUCCUAACUCCUCCCGAGCUCUUUAUUUUUAUUUAAGCAUUAUUAUUUCUAGUUUUAGGUUGGGGUGACCACGGAGCAAAACUAAACCUCCAUGAAGAAAUGAAUAUUUUUAAGCCACAAACUACUUUUUUAAGCAUCAACAAAUUGACCUUCAUUGACCCAAUAUAUUGAUCAACGAACCAAGUUACCCUAGGGAUAACAGCGCAAUCUACUUCAAGAGCUCAUAUCGACAAGUAGGUUUACGACCUCGAUGUUGGAUCAGGGUAUCCUAGUGGUGCAGCCGCUACUAAUGGUUCGUUUGUUCAACGAUUAAAACCCU